AACGUCAGAAAAAUGUCCCAGGCAUUGAGGUACGAGGUCAACCUACACUAAUGUGGGGCCAUGACAUCAUCCUUUACAGGUUCCCCGAUGCCAGGGAAGAUCUCAGAAGUUACGACUGAUAUGCAAGAUCCCAGGGCCUGGGUAUUUUAAGAAAAAGAUGGAAUAGGAAAAUGAAAAUAAGUUGAAGUUUCCAUGAAAAGAAAGAAAGAAGCAGUGGGCCUUCAGGAAUCUUGGA